rnacentral:rRNA from 1 species
AUUGAACGCUGGCGACAUGCCUUACACAUGCAAGUCGAACGGUAACAGGUUAAGCUGACGAGUGGCGAACGGGUGAGUAAUGUAUCGGAACGUGCCCAGUCGUGGGGGAUAACUACUCGAAAGAGUGGCUAAUACCGCAUACGACCUGAGGGUGAAAGCGGGGGACCGUAAGGCCUCGCGCGAUUGGAGCGGCCGAUAUCAGAUUAGCUAGUUGGUGGGGUAAAAGCCCACCAAGGCGACGAUCUGUAGCUGGUCUGAGAGGACGACCAGCCACACUGGGACUGAGACACGGCCCAGACUCCUACGGGAGGCAGCAGUGGGGAAUUUUGGACAAUGGACGCAAGUCUGAUCCAGCCAUGCCGCGUGCGGGAAGAAGGCCUUCGGGUUGUAAACCGCUUUUGUCAGGGAAGAAACGAGUUUCUCUAAUACAGAGACUUAAUGACGGUACCUGAAGAAUAAGCACCGGCUAACUACGUGCCAGCCGCCGCGGUAAGAC